rnacentral:tRNA from 1 species
GCCUCUGUGGCGCAACGGUAGUUCGCUUGUCUGUUACACAGGAGGUCCCGGGUUCGAAUCCCGGCCAGGGCA